rnacentral:tRNA from 1 species
CAGUAUCUGGUAGAUGGCGGACUGCCAGCUGCUGUCUAUGGUAAGAUAGGUAUCGUUACCUGCGACAGGUUCUACUCUCGUGCUGUUGUC